rnacentral:misc_RNA from 1 species
AACGCACGAGACCUGCGGACCUGCGGAAGGAUCAUUACAGAGUUCGCGCCUUCGGGCGGACCUCCCACCCAGUGCUAUCGCUACCCUCGUUGCUUUGGUGGGCCGCCGGCCCCGUCCGCGCCCGCCAGAGGCCCCCCAACUCUUGAUGUCCUGUCGUCCGAGUAUUGCACAAUAGUUAAAACUUUUAACAAUGGAUCUCU